rnacentral:misc_RNA from 1 species
GUUUGGAUGUUACGUACUUACUACUUACGUAACAGUCGUCGGUCGACGAGUGACGACUAUUUGUCUUUGGCGUCCGUCGCGAAAAGUUUUUAGCGAUAAUUAUUUAUUAUUGUUUUGUAAUUUUCAGCCGGUGUCGUUCAGGAUUAACGAAUAACAAUCAUGCGGUGUCUUAUGGUGUUUGACAAUUUAAACGACAUCGUCUUCAUGAAAUGCAACACGAAAUUCUGCAUACAUAUUAGGAAAAUUGGAAUUUCGCAGGACCUUAUUAAACCAACAGAGAAUGAAAAAGAAGACUGUGAUAAAAUUGAUCCAGACUUAAUACUUCAGAUUUUUUCACCAAUGGUUACUUCCCAGAGAAUUAUGAAUUGCCAUUUUUCAAAUCGAUACAGCUCAAUGCAAUGUCAAAAUGGAACAAAUAUUGUAUUUGAUGAGUACUUGGGUCAUUUAUUCAUUUAUAUUGGUGACAAGGAAGUUUCCUGGCAGCAAAAAGUACUUAGUGUAUCAAUUUUAUUUAUAAAAAGAAUUUGUGGUUCUGAUGUUUCAUUAUUGAAAUAUAGUCGCCGUCGCCGUUUUCUGGUUUCUAAGCUUUUAGAUGUUUGGUUAAAACGUUCAAAUAAAGAACAGUGUGUACUAAUUGAAGCUGUUGAACAACUGACUGUCAGUGCAGAGCUUUCUACAGCUGCUUUAACAGCCGCUAAAACAGCAGCCGAGAAAAUGAAAACAAAAUCUGCCUUUUCUAGGGUCCAUAUACUCAUAAUGGUUCGACAGAAAUUUUUGACUUUGUAUUCUAGUCGUAAUGCAACUGAUCUGUGUGCGGGUGAUACAUUAUUCUUAGCACUCUUAGCUGAGGCUAUACAAACGGUUGAUUCAGAACCCAAGGAUAAAUCAGAUCUUGAUGUAAUUAUUGUGGAAAAAGACAAUUCACUACAGCUGGAAAAUGAUGUACCAUUGCCAAGAAACAAAAUUAACAGCUUAUUGAUUCUUUUGGGUCAACAUGGGUUGAAGUUAAAUGCUGUACAUUUGUCAUACAUUACUGAUGGUGUUCCAUUAUUUAUCAUUCAUGAGAUCGGUAAUGAUGUUUUUAAUAGUAGUGUAAUCGAUUCAUUAACAUCAUUUUGCACAAUCCAAGAAAUCCAAAUUCGAGGAAAUGUAGACCGCGAAGCGCUUAAAAUUGCUUAUGAUACAGUUGAUAGUUCCAUGAAAAAAAUUAUUGAUUUGUUUAAAAAGAAAAAUGCUCCAUUUGCACCGACUCGAAGUGUACUUGCCAUAAUAACCACUUUGGCUACUAGAUGGGAGCCAUUAAAGAAGAAAUACCUAGAUUACUUUAAAAAUAAUGACAGUUCAUCAUUAAUUGCUAUAGAAUCAAGCAACAUGAAUAUUGUAUGUAGUUUAAAAGAUCUUCAUCAUCAUUGUAUGCUCAACGAAUCAUUGAUUGACAGUUAUACAAAAGAAGCAGUGAGCGAAGCUUCCGCAAUGGUCGCUGUAAUGUUACGUGAUUAUACAUCAUUUUUUGAGGUGAAAGCUAUGAACAAUUUUACAAUGAGAUCAAGAUCAACAUUAAAUAUUAAUAAAUAUUUAGAAGAAUUCCCAGGUCUAGUACAUUUUAUUUAUGUAGAUCGAAUGUCUCAUCGGAUGAUUGCUCCAGGUUUGGAGUUUGCAUCACAAGAAACACUUGAACUUACCAAAAAAAAAGGUAUGGUCCAUGAUCGAAUUUAGUAGACAGCAUUUAAGAGAUGGACAUUUUAUUGUCCUUUGGAAAGAUAACACUUUUACAUAUUCUUAUUUCUUGUGGUUUGAGGAUCAAUCGGGUACAUCUUUAAAGCCUAGAGUUCAACCUACAGCUUCAGAGUUAUUUCCAGGAAUAUUAAAUGGUGAUUACUAU